ensembl:lncRNA
CCUAAGUGAGCUACACCCCAUAGUUCUCCCGGACCAGGGUUGGUGACAGGAUACAAAUUGGUUAACUGGCAUUAUGGGUGAGAACAUGUCUCCUACCAGGAUAUUGGUGACUUCUACCAAAAAAUCUCUGCAGUCCAACAGGAACCAAUCAACAGGAUCAGCGAAGCCUCCUCAGUAUUCAUCAUGCAUGUCUCACUCAGGAGCAAACCCUAAGUGUGGAAAAUCAAUAAGGGUGUGACCUGUUUUGACUUCAGCAGAUCUCUUAACCAGUUGGUGACGUGUGGUCUGGACCCUACGGUCAGACUGUGGAACCGCUUCAUUGUCAUCGCCGGAUGUAAUGACUUGUCUGUAUCACUGUGGGACGUAGAAAUAGGGACUGAAGAUCACCAGUGUUCACGGAGAG